rnacentral:sRNA from 1 species
GGUUUUUGGGGUGUGUUCAUCCAGUUCGAAUUCCCCUACCUUUGAGCUUCUUUCCUGCUUGUAAGGGAACAAAUUAACGAUAAGAAUGUUAUGGCAAUGCCUGUUGGAGAAGGGGUCUACGUGUGUUGAGAAUUUUGAUGCGGAAAUGGCAGAUAUGGAAGUGGGGUAUGAAAUUAGCUCAUGAACCAAUUAUUCUAUGGCUCGAGCUUUACUUUAGGAUCCAGUAAGAACUUAAAAAAGGAUUGUUCAUACAACAGUUAAUCCUGCUCCAGACCCAUUUUUACUGUUCUGACAAGCCAGUAAGCAAAAGGUCACUUCAACAAAAUUACGUUAAAUUUGUACGUCUCUAGAAGACUUUCAAGUUGUUUGAUGGCCUUUCAAGAACUGUGUAUCCCACUCAUAGACACAGAAACCAUCUGUCAAAGUUCUUUUUAAGUUUGAAUAAAGUUCUCGGAACUAUUGACAAUC